UGGUGUAGUCGAUCUUGAAAUCAUCACUUGGAAGAUAUCCCAUUUCAAGUCCCCGUGGACAAAUAUCUCACUUUUAUCAGAGAUGCUUGAGUCCAAAGCAUUAUACAGGUUAAUUUUCCAUUCAUCCUGUAGUUUAAGAUCUGCAUUACUGAAGAUUCCCAUUAGGAUACUGGACCCCAUGUAGUCAACACGUGCUUCAGUAGAACCCAUGGUGAUCUGAAUUUUAUGACUGGGCUGUUGGUUUGGGUGCUCAGAAAUAUGAGCCACCAUCUCCAGGGUGUUAACAUCUAUGGUACCGCCAACAACUCCACCUCUAGAGUCCAGCUGUGAUCUUCCCAAACCAACAGACAUGCUAAUUUCCCGA
rnacentral:lncRNA from 1 species